CGGAACACGUACGCAACCUUCCUUUAACUGGAGAAUAGCCCCUCGAAAGAGGGAUUAAUACUCCGUAACAUAUUGAUAAGGCAUCUUAUUAAUAUUAUAGCCUUUGGGCGGUUAAAGAUGGGCGUGCGCCUGAUUAGAUAGUUGGCGGGGUAAUGGCCCACCAAGUCUGCGAUCAGUAACUGGUGUGAGAGCACGACCAGUCACACGGGCACUGAGACACGGGCCCG
rnacentral:rRNA from 1 species